rnacentral:tRNA from 4 species
CGGGACGUAGUUCAUCGGUAGAACGCUGGGUUCGGGACCUAGAGGUAGGGGGUCCAAUUCCCCCCGUCCCGA